UACGGGGGGGGCAAGCGUUGUUCGGAAUUACUGGGCGUAAAGGGCGCGUAGGUGGCGCGGGCAGUCAACGGUGAAAGUUCGGGGCUCAACCCUGAAUCGGCCGUCGAUACUCCCGUGCUUGAGCACUGUAGAGGCAGAUGGAAUUCCGGGUGUAGCGGUGGAAUGCGUAGAGAUCCGGAAGAACACCGGUGGCGAAGGCGGUCUGCUGGGCAGUAGCUGACACUGAGGCGCGACAGCGUGGGGAGCAAACAGG
rnacentral:rRNA from 1 species